rnacentral:rRNA from 1 species
UCCCUAGCUGGUCUGAGAGGAUGACCAGCCACACUGGAACUGAGACACGGUCCAGACUCCUACGGGAGGCAGCAGUGGGGAAUAUUGCACAAUGGGCGCAAGCCUGAUGCAGCCAUGCCGCGUGUAUGAAGAAGGCCUUCGGGUUGUAAAGUACUUUCAGCGGGGAGGAAGGUGUUGAGGUUAAUAACCUCAGCAAUUGACGUUACCCGCAGAAGAAGCACCGGCUAACUCCGUGCCAGCAGCCGCGGUAAUACGGAGGGUGCAAGCGUUAAUCGGAAUUACUGGGCGUAAAGCGCACGCAGGCGGUCUGUCAAGUCGGAUGUGAAAUCCCCGGGCUCAACCUGGGAACUGCAUUCGAAACUGGCAGGCUAGAGUCUUGUA